rnacentral:rRNA from 1 species
GAUGAACGCUGGCGGCGUGCUUAACACAUGCAAGUCGAACGAGCCUUCGGGCUAGUGGCGGACGGGUGAGUAACGCGUGGGAAUCUGCCCUCAGGAGGGGGAUAACGGCCGGAAACGGCCGCUAAUACCCCAUAUGCCGAGAGGUGAAACGAAUUUCGCCUGAGGAUGAGCCCGCGUCUGAUUAGCUAGUUGGUGAGGUAAUGGCUCACCAAGGCAUCGAUCAGUAGCUGGUCUGAGAGGAUGAUCAGCCACACUGGGACUGAGACACGGCCCAGACUCCUACGGGAGGCAGCAGUGGGGAAUUUUCCGCAAUGGGCGCAAGCCUGACGGAGCAACGCCGCGUGAGGGACGAAGGCCUCUGGGCUGUAAACCUCUUUUCUCAAGGAAGAAGACA